GGGUUGUGAGGUUAAGCGACUAAGCGUACACGGUGGAUGCCCUGGCAGUCAGAGGCGAUGAAGGACGUGCUAAUCUGCGAUAAGCGUCGGUAAGGUGAUAUGAACCGUUAUAACCGGCGAUUUCCGAAUGGGGAAACCCAGUGUGUUUCGACACACUAUCAUUAACUGAAUCCAUAGGUUAAUGAGGCGAACCGGGGGAACUGAAACAUCUAAGUACCCCGAGGAAAAGAAAUCAACCGAGAUUCCCCCAGUAGCGGCGAGCGAACGGGGAGCAGCCCAGAGCCUGAAUCAGUAUGUGUGUUAGUGGAAGCGUCUGGAAAGGCGCGCGAUACAGGGUGACAGCCCCGUACACAAAAAUGCACAUGCUGUGAGCUCGAUGAGUAGGGCGGGACACGUGGUAUCCUGUCUGAAUAUGGGGGGACCAUCCUCCAAGGCUAAAUACUCCUGACUGACCGAUAGUGAACCAGUACCGUGAGGGAAAGGCGAAAAGAACCCCGGCGAGGGGAGUGAAAAAGAACCUGAAACCGUGUACGUACAAGCAGUGGGAGCACGCUUAGGCGUGUGACUGCGUACCUUUUGUAUAAUGGGUCAGCGACUUAUAUUCUGUAGCAAGGUUAACCGAAUAGGGGAGCCGAAGGGAAACCGAGUCUUAACUGGGCGUUAAGUUGCAGGGUAUAGACCCGAAACCCGGUGAUCUAGCCAUGGGCAGGUUGAAGGUUGGGUAACACUAACUGGAGGACCGAACCGACUAAUGUUGAAAAAUUAGCGGAUGACUUGUGGCUGGGGGUGAAAGGCCAAUCAAACCGGGAGAUAGCUGGUUCUCCCCGAAAGCUAUUUAGGUAGCGCCUCGUGAAUUCAUCUCCGGGGGUAGAGCACUGUUUCGGCAAGGGGGUCAUCCCGACUUACCAACCCGAUGCAAACUGCGAAUACCGGAGAAUGUUAUCACGGGAGACACACGGCGGGUGCUAACGUCCGUCGUGAAGAGGGAAACAACCCAGACCGCCAGCUAAGGUCCCAAAGUCAUGGUUAAGUGGGAAACGAUGUGGGAAGGCCCAGACAGCCAGGAUGUUGGCUUAGAAGCAGCCAUCAUUUAAAGAAAGCGUAAUAGCUCACUGGUCGAGUCGGCCUGCGCGGAAGAUGUAACGGGGCUAAACCAUGCACCGAAGCUGCGGCAGCGACGCUGAUGCGUUGUUGGGUAGGGGAGCGUUCUGUAAGCCUGCGAAGGUGUGCUGUGAGGCAUGCUGGAGGUAUCAGAAGUGCGAAUGCUGACAUAAGUAACGAUAAAGCGGGUGAAAAGCCCGCUCGCCGGAAGACCAAGGGUUCCUGUCCAACGUUAAUCGGGGCAGGGUGAGUCGACCCCUAAGGCGAGGCCGAAAGGCGUAGUCGAUGGGAAACAGGUUAAUAUUCCUGUACUUGGUGUUACUGCGAAGGGGGGACGGAGAAGGCUAUGUUGGCCGGGCGACGGUUGUCCCGGUUUAAGCGUGUAGGCUGGUUUUCCAGGCAAAUCCGGAAAAUCAAGGCUGAGGCGUGAUGACGAGGCACUACGGUGCUGAAGCAACAAAUGCCCUGCUUCCAGGAAAAGCCUCUAAGCAUCAGGUAACAUCAAAUCGUACCCCAAACCGACACAGGUGGUCAGGUAGAGAAUACCAAGGCGCUUGAGAGAACUCGGGUGAAGGAACUAGGCAAAAUGGUGCCGUAACUUCGGGAGAAGGCACGCUGAUAUGUAGGUGAAGUCCCUCGCGGAUGGAGCUGAAAUCAGUCGAAGAUACCAGCUGGCUGCAACUGUUUAUUAAAAACACAGCACUGUGCAAACACGAAAGUGGACGUAUACGGUGUGACGCCUGCCCGGUGCCGGAAGGUUAAUUGAUGGGGUUAGCGCAAGCGAAGCUCUUGAUCGAAGCCCCGGUAAACGGCGGCCGUAACUAUAACGGUCCUAAGGUAGCGAAAUUCCUUGUCGGGUAAGUUCCGACCUGCACGAAUGGCGUAAUGAUGGCCAGGCUGUCUCCACCCGAGACUCAGUGAAAUUGAACUCGCUGUGAAGAUGCAGUGUACCCGCGGCAAGACGGAAAGACCCCGUGAACCUUUACUAUAGCUUGACACUGAACAUUGAGCCUUGAUGUGUAGGAUAGGUGGGAGGCUUUGAAGUGUGGACGCCAGUCUGCAUGGAGCCGACCUUGAAAUACCACCCUUUAAUGUUUGAUGUUCUAACGUUGACCCGUAAUCCGGGUUGCGGACAGUGUCUGGUGGGUAGUUUGACUGGGGCGGUCUCCUCCUAAAGAGUAACGGAGGAGCACGAAGGUUGGCUAAUCCUGGUCGGACAUCAGGAGGUUAGUGCAAUGGCAUAAGCCAGCUUGACUGCGAGCGUGACGGCGCGAGCAGGUGCGAAAGCAGGUCAUAGUGAUCCGGUGGUUCUGAAUGGAAGGGCCAUCGCUCAACGGAUAAAAGGUACUCCGGGGAUAACAGGCUGAUACCGCCCAAGAGUUCAUAUCGACGGCGGUGUUUGGCACCUCGAUGUCGGCUCAUCACAUCCUGGGGCUGAAGUAGGUCCCAAGGGUAUGGCUGUUCGCCAUUUAAAGUGGUACGCGAGCUGGGUUUAGAACGUCGUGAGACAGUUCGGUCCCUAUCUGCCGUGGGCGCUGGAGAACUGAGGGGGGCUGCUCCUAGUACGAGAGGACCGGAGUGGACGCAUCACUGGUGUUCGGGUUGUCAUGCCAAUGGCACUGCCCGGUAGCUAAAUGCGGAAGAGAUAAGUGCUGAAAGCAUCUAAGCACGAAACUUGCCCCGAGAUGAGUUCUCCCUGACCCUUUAAGGGUCCUGAAGGAACGUUGAAGACGACGACGUUGAUAGGCCGGGUGUGUAAGCGCAGCGAUGCGUUGAGCUAACCGGUACUAAUGAACCGUGAGGCUUAACCUUACAACGCCGAAG
rnacentral:rRNA from 1 species